AUUGAACGCUGGCGGCAGGCCUAACACAUGCAAGUCGAACGAGUGGCGGACGGGUGAGUAAUGUCUGGGAAACUGCCCGAUGGAGGGGGAUAACUACUGGAAAAGGUAGCUAAUACCGCAUACCAUCGGAUGUGCCCAGAGGGGAUUAGCUAGGAGGUGGGGUAAUGGCGCACCUGGGCGACGAUCCCUAGCUGGUCUGAGAGGAUGACGAUCCACACUGGAACUGAGGCACGGUCCAUACGCCUACGGGAGGCAGCAGGGGGGAAUAUUGCAGAAUGGGCGCAAGCCUGAUGCAGCCAUGCCGCGUGUAUGAAGAAGGCCGUCGGGUUGUAAAGUACUUUCAGCGAGGAGGCGUUACUCGCAGAAGAAGCACCGGCUAACUCCGUGCCAGCCGCCGCGGUAAUUC
rnacentral:rRNA from 1 species